rnacentral:rRNA from 1 species
UACGUAGGGACCAAGCGUUGUUCGGAAUUACUGGGCGUAAAGAGUGUGUAGGCGGUGCUCCAAGUCUGGUGUGAAAUCUCCCGGCUUAACUGGGAGGGUGCAUUAGAAACUGGAAUGCUAGAGGAUGGGAGAGGUAAGCGGAAUUCCUGGUGUAGCGGUGAAAUGCGUAGAUAUCAGGAGGAACACCUGUGGUGUAGACAGCUUACUGGACCAUUUCUGACGCUGAGACACGAAAGCGUGGGUAGCAAACAGG